CCGCACCUGCUCAUCUUCGGCUGCACGAGGUGGAGGAGCAACGCCGCCGCCGCCACCGAUGCCGCCGUGGAUUCCGUCGACCUCGGCCACCACCUUGAUAAGCUAGUGCGUGACGGGGACCUCGCCGACGGGGGAUGGACCACCGGAGGAGCGGUACCGCGGGCGGUCAUCAUCGCCAGAGUUGGCGCGGUAGAGCUUCUUGAUGAGCUCUUCUUCUUCUCCUUCCCGCCGGAGCUGGAGACGACGGCGUACCUCUCCAUCUUGCACGCGAACAGCCCCAUGAAGGCGUGCUCCACCGGCCUGUCCCAGUACUCCGUCUUCUCCCCCAUCAGCGCCGGCGACGUCGCCACGCACCGAAAGCCGCAGGACGCGAGCACAGCGCCACCACUGGUGCCAACAGCAAUGCCGCCGCCAUUGUCUACUAAUCAAUCCCUCAAAACAAGCGAUUUAGAGUGGAACUACGAACUAAAACUACCAUUCAUCAAUCACCCAGACCGAAAUCAGAGAAAGGGGGAAAGGUGGGACCUGGACGGGGAGGGCGUCCAUGUCAGUGCGGAGCGCGACGAUGGGGGGAAGGCUGGAGCC
rnacentral:lncRNA from 1 species